UCUUAGAUAUAAAUCAAUUUUUUUUACCAGAGUACUACAAACAUCAGGUUUAAAACUCAAAGAGCUUGGCGGUGCUUUAGACUCCUCAGGGGAACCUGUCUCAUAAUCGAUAAUCCACGAACCAACCUCACCUUCUCUUGCAAUCAGUAUGUAUACCGUCGUCGUCAGGUAACUUUUAAAAAUAAAGGAGUUAGCAACUAAAUAAAUUAAUUUCCACGUCAGAUCAAGGUGCAACCUACGAGAAGGAGUAGAUGGGUUACAAUUAAAACUUAUAAUUACGAAUUUAAUCCCUAACAAGUUUAUGAAGGCGGACUUGAAAGUAAAGCUUAGCAGCUAAAUACCUUGAAUUAAGCUCUGAAGCG
rnacentral:rRNA from 1 species